GACAUCUCUGAGAAUUCGUUUUGGUAUCAAAAAGCGCAUAGGUACUAUGCUUUUCACACGAGUACGCGAGACAAAACACUCAGCACAAUUAUUUUAAUGACUCUGGAGAUAAAAUAUUUUUAAACGAUUUUACAAGAAUGCCUUGUGAUAUGAAAUUAUAGUGAAUUUAAAUACGAAAUGUAUUGUACACGCCUACCUCAAUUAUUAUACAUGGUUACCUUUAGUUAAAAUGUCUAUGCAUGUGAAAUUGGUCUGAUACUUACUGGAAGAAAGAAUAAAAAAAAAAACUCUUACAAUUCAAUAUGAUUAUACCAUCGGAUUACAUAAGAUCAC